rnacentral:rRNA from 1 species
UAAAUUGCUGCGGUAUUUUAACUGUACGAAGGUAGCAUAAUAAUUAGUUCAUUUAUUGUGAACUGGAAUGAAUGGUUUGACAAGAAAUUAUCUGUCUCUUUAUAAUUUAUUUUUGAAUUUAACUUUUUAGUUAAAAGGCUUAAAUUUAUAUUAAAGACGAGAAGACCCUAUAGAGUUUAAUUUUUUUUUAUGUUUUUUAUUUGGUAUUUAUUUUAAAUUUUAAAAUAAAAUUUUAUUGGGGUGAUUGAAAGAUUAUUUAAACUCUUUUUUAAUUAAUCAUUGAUUUUUGAAUAUUAGGUCUUAUUUUUUGAAUUUAAAAAUUAAUUACCUUAGGGAUAACAGCGUAAUUUUUCUUUAAAGUUCAUAUUAAAAGAAGUGAUUGCGACCUCGAUGUUGGAUUAAAAUUUAAUUUUGGUGAAGUAGCUUUAAUUUUUAGUCUGUUCGACUAUUAAAAUUUUACAUGAUCUGAGU